rnacentral:rRNA from 1 species
GCAGGCUUAACACAUGCAAGUCGAGCGGUAACAGGAGAAGCUUGCUUCUCGCUGACGAGCGGCGGACGGGUGAGUAAUACUUAGGAAUCUACCUAGUAGUGGGGGAUAGCUCGGGGAAACUCGAAUUAAUACCGCAUACGACCUACGGGAGAAAGGGGGCAACUUGUUGCUCUCGCUAUUAGAUGAGCCUAAGUCGGAUUAGCUAGAUGGUGGGGUAAAGGCCUACCAUGGCGACGAUCUGUAGCUGGUCUGAGAGGAUGAUCAGCCACACCGGGACUGAGACACGGCCCGGACUCCUACGGGAGGCAGCAGUGGGGAAUAUUGGACAAUGGGGGCAACCCUGAUCCCCCCAUGCCGCGUGUGUGAAGAAGGCCUUUUGGUUGUUAAGCACUUUAAGCCGUGAAGAAGACUUCCUGGUUAAUUCCCAUGGACGAUAACAUUAGAUGCAGAAUUAGCACCGGCUAACUAGGUGCCAGCAGCCGCGGUAAUGCAGAGGGUGCAAGCGUUAAUCGGAAUUACUGGGCGUAAAGCGAGCGUAGGUGGCUUGAUAAGUCAGAUGUGAAAGCCCCGGGCUUAACCUGGGAACGGCAUCUGAUACUGUUAGGCUAGAGUAGGUGAGAGGAAGGUAGAAUUCCAGGUGUAGCGGUGAAAUGCGUAGAGAUCUGGAGGAAUACCGAUGGCGAAGGCAGCCUUCUGGCAUCAUACUGACACUGAGGUUCGAAAGCGUGGGUAGCAAACAGGAUUAGAUACCCUGGUAGUCCACGCCGUAAACGAUGUCUACUAGUCGUUGGGUCCCUUGAGGACUUAGUGACGCAGCUAACGCAAUAAGUAGACCGCCUGGGGAGUACGGCC